AUCGUUGUACAGUAAUCAAAUAACUACAAUACAACGUGGAAUGUUUGGCAACCUACAAGCACUAACCGAAUUAGAUAUACGUUACAAUCAAAUAACUACAAUACAGCAGGGAGCAUUUCAAACCUUACCAGCACUGCAGACUCUAGACUUGCUUGGAAACAAUCUGACAUUUAUCAAGAAUGACACUUUUGAACAUAACACUAAAUUACAAAUUUU